rnacentral:tRNA from 1 species
GCCCGGAUGGCGGAAUUGGUAGACGCGCUAGCUUCAGGAGCUAGUUGGUGUAAGCCAGUGCAGGUUCGAGUCCUGUUCCGGGCACUA